AACGCACAUUGCGCCCGCUGGUAUUCCAGCGGGCAUGCCUGUUCGAGCGUCAUUUCAACCCUCAAAGCUUCGUCUUUGGUGUUGGGGCUUUACCCGUCAAAGGGUAUGCCCUGAAAUACAGUGGCGGGCUCGCUAGAAUUUUGAGCGUAGUAAUUUAUACCUCGUUUGUAAAGACUAGUGGGACUUCUAGCCAGAAAACUCCCCCCAUUUUUUGAAAAAUUGACCUCGGAUCAGGUAGGAAUACCCGCUGAACUUAA
rnacentral:misc_RNA from 1 species